UAUGUAACACCCGGAUUUUAGGGGUCCAAAACCCAGGCGCUAACAUAAUCACCAGGUGUGCUGGGACCAAGUCUCACACAUAUGAUGAAUCAUGGCACAGGAUCGAAUGUCACAUCUUUAUAUAUAACAGGAGUUCUAUACAAAAUAAAUAAUUACAUUAUAAGGAGACAACGGUCCAGCAACCCAAAGUUGACUGGGAGACGACGACCUAGACCUCUUACGAACACAUCGCAGCAUCCUCCAAGCGCCUCAUCCGAUGGUACCUGUUCUUGACCUGUGGGGUGUGUGAGACAGCAAGAGUGAGCUCACAUACGUUCAUCGCUCAACAAGUUGUGGGGAAUAAUGUGCAUGAACUCGCCAAAAGUGGGAGCUCACGUGAAGUGUAAGGCUUACCAAAGAGGAUGGCUGAAGCUGAGCAUUGCUUUUAAAGUUGGUCAAAAUUUUAUUAGCAAUUACUAAGUAUAAGUAAAUACCAAACCCAAUUAAGUAAUAGAACAAAAGUAACAACAUCACCUGCGAUGCAAUGCAUAUGACAAAUUGAAUUUAGUUCCAUAAUUUAAUCAUGUGAGUGUCCGAGCUGCUCAUGACCGUGAGCACGGCUAGUAUACCAGUUUUACACUCUGCAGAGGUUGCGCACCUUUACCCACAAGUCAUGUUACCCAUCUGCCAAGGGAUCGCGACUUCCCAUACACCUCUACCGAGGAGGCGAGGCAGGGUAACACUACGAGGCCUUUACAAAGUUCCACUAGCUUCAGAAAACCCGCUACAGUUUAUAGGAAGUUCCAAUGCAGGAAUCCCUUGCAGGACCGCCAUCGCAGCAAAAUCCUCCCGAGGGCCUCCCUACACUGACCACUCCCCUACUGCCCUUGCCCCUUUCGGGUAAGGUAGUCUUCCACUAGCUUUCCUAAUUAAUCAGCCAAGGGGUCCCAUUCCUCCCUUGUGGUAGCACUGUUUUCCCGGGUGGUUCUCCAUGUUCCAAUUAACAUAAUGAUCUUAUCAUGAACAGUAAUAAUAAACAGAUAAUAAAAAUGUGAUCAUGAAUAAUGUAUCUUCAUACCCAAAACCACAUAAAGCACUAGCAAGUACUACCCAAAAAGGUUCAGUGGUAAACAAGGUAUAAAGAUAAUCAAACUAGGGUAACCUAUUGGGUCCCAUCAAAAUUAACCUAUGCAGAUCAUUAUGAUUAAUCAGAACAUGGCUGGGUAAAAAGAAGUGAUCAAGGGCACAACUUGCCUGGGACUUGAGAUUCCAGGUACCAACUUGCUGUUCAGGUGACAUGUGUCCUCACUGUUAAACGUAGCAAUACAUACAAACAUGGUAUAUGCAAAAUUAACAUCACACCAAACAUAAUAAUACACUGCAUAAUAAUAAUCUACACGUCGCUACGAGAUCAUGGGUUCGAGAAUCACUAAAAUUGGAGUUACGGUUGUGAAGUUAUGGUUUUCCGAAGAUCCACGUGGUUAAAUAUCGAAUAGACUAAGUGCAACCUUUUAACCUAUAUUUCAUGACAAAACAAAGUUACCAGAUGUUAAUAAAUAUUAUUGUGAGACUAAUGAAACUAGAAUGGAUCAAAACAGAGUUACGGUUAUUGACUUAUGAAUUUCUGGAGUUAUUGAGUACAUGGUAUAGAUUAAUUCAGAUGAAUAAUGUUAAUUCAUAUUCCAUUGCUAAAUGGAGUUACUAAGUGGUAGUCAAUAUUAAAACAAAAUUAAUGUCUCCGGAAUAAAUUAAUUUGGAGCUAAAAUGAAUUUAAUAUGAAUUAAGCAAAUUCCUAGAUUUAUUUUUGCACUAAAAAUCUUUUUUUUCUAAAUAAAUUCUGAAUUUCCCAAGGAUUCUGGACUGUGGACACUAUUUUAACUAAGCCUAGGGUGCUCUGUGCAAAAUUCCGGGCCUGUUUUAUAAUUCCUUUACACGCAUCAGGACGGCGGGUUGAUUUUAGAAAAGGACAGGGCUCUUUAAGAAUUUGUCAUGGCCGAAGGGGUAUCAACCACCGUGAGCCAUCCGAUCGCCCAUCAACCGACGGGAUUAGAUCCCCCCUAAAGUGAACAGGAAUCACCCACAACCCUUGGAUGCGGCAUCCACGGUUCCAGACGAUUUCAAACCCCAUCCACUCGAUCAGGCGCCAAAGGCUUGGAUUCAGUACGCGAAGGGGUAAAUGCUACUUUUAAUCCCAGCCGUCCAUCUCAAUCCUACGGCCAGGGACCCGUCUUCCUCCCCUGGUUCCGUCGCUAUUUUCUCCCCAGCCAACCCUCCGCAACCGAGCGCCAUAGCCGCGGCAGCAUGCUGGUCAGUGCUCGCCAUCCGAGCCCAAAAUACAGCCCGGACGCCACUACUCAAAUCCUACACGGCCACAAUCAAUAGGUAGGAACACUCACCCUUGGUAAAGUUGUACACCAAGCAGACCUUGACUUCUGCUUGCCGAGGAAGCCCACGUCGAGAUCCCGAUCUGGCCUGGCGCACCGCUUCUCCUCCCACCGAUGACACCGCAAGCUUCAAGGCCCGCCGCCGAUCCCGCAAUGCCACUGCCGAGCCCCCAGCGCAGUCGUUUUACGAACGGUCGAUGGCGCGGACCGGAAUUCACGCGCCACCGGGCGACUCUCUCUCUCUCUCCCGAUUCCCCGAGUGCUCAGAGGUUUCACAAUAUGCUUGGAUUGCCAUGGUAAGGCGGCAGCAACUUCUUAUAUACUGACCGCAGGGAAAGCCUACUCCAGCCGCAUAAGCCGGCGGAUCCCGAGCGAAUCGCCCAGAAAUUCGGAGUCCGUUGCGCGGUCGGUUGCCAGGGCUUUCGCCGGUAACAAUGAACGCGCGAGUCCGCUGUUAGACCAUGCCGCAGAGAAAGGAUGCCAGCGCAACAGCUAGCGACGACCCAGCUGGCGAGCUAAGCGCAGAGGAUAGGCUACGUGCGACUAUGGAGAUAGAGGCUGGGAGUCUGCGGAGAAAAGGUCUAGGUGAGAUCCGGUGCAUGCGGGUGGUUGCAACAGCUUCAGGAAGAAGCCGACUGCCUGCAUGGCCCCAUGCGCGAGCGUCCCUUGCGCGGCGUGAGGGUCUGAGGGAUUUGCAUGAUGAUGUAAUGCGUGAUGUCAUGCCAAUGUCACUUUCGGCUAGAGAAUAAACAAAAAAAAUGUCGUGUUGGCUAGCACUUGGCUGUUAGGUUGGAGUGGCAUUGGGCCCAAUGCGAGAGGUGGCCCGUGAAUGGUUUUUUUUUCUUUUAUUUAGUUUCUAUUUCAUUUGCUAAUGCAAAUUUGCAACUCACAUUCAAAUAAAGUUUGAAUUUCAAACUAAAGGGUUAAUGCAUACUCCGAAAACUCCAACAUGCCAAUGCAAAGUGAAAUUUAUUUAUUUUAUUCAUGUCGACAAAUGCUUGUAAAUAUGUAAUAUUAAUGUAUACACACAAUGGUUUUAUUUUGAGAACAUUUCAAUGUCUAAUCCAAUCCAAUAAUUUUUUUUUAAUUAUUUAUAUCAAAGUUUAUGAUAUUUUUUUUAACCUAACUCUCUCUUACUACAAAAUACAUUUAUGUGAAACUUUGGAAGAAUUUUAGCAUAAUUCCAAAAUUAAGUGUUUGGGUGUUACAAAUUCUACCCCCCUUAAGAGAAAUCUCGCCCUCGAGAUUUGUAAGAAAAGGGAUACAAAAAGAUUGGUUUGUAAUUAAGCUUUUAGUCUAUAAUUGGUUCAAGAAUUCAGAGUCUUUUUUUUCCAAUAGUGGGUGAUUAGGAGAGCAUAUGUAUCCAACUAUUUAUUAUGUGGAAUAAGAGAUGGAUAGGUUAGGGCAAGAAUAACCAGGUGUAAGGAGGAUUAUGGCAAGGAAAAGACUUCAUACAAAAAUGUUUAAGUCUUGAUUCAUCUCGAUAUUCGCUUUGACUGUUAUAUCCUUUCUUGUUGAUGUUGAUCUUUUCUUCUCCGGUCUUGGUCUCAUUGAUUCGAGGUUAGUGUAUAUCAUCGGGGAUGGGAAAUAUGGUUAGGAUAGAUAUGGAUGAGAUAGACUACAUGAUGUAGGUCAAAAUCCUGUUUGAUGUUAGGUGGGAAUAGACAGAUUGGAUAUAACUAGAUUAGACUAGUUAAGAUCUACUUAUUUUAGAAUAGAUCGUGGUUGUUACACUUAGUACGAGAUAAGCAAAGUAGUUAGGAUGUAACAAGAUAAGAUAGGAUAUAAUCUUUUAAGAUGAGAUGAAUCUAUUAAGAUAAGAGAAAAUCUUUUAAGAUAAGAUGGAUCUAUUAAGAUAAGAUAUAUUUUAAUGGGAAAUAAUCUGUGUUGUCUAGUUAUUUUAUAAAUAUUCUCCUUUUAUGCCUAGAUGUAAUUGUGGACAUUGAUCCACAACCCAUCACACUCAAUCAAAGAUCCAAAUCAGACAAAUAUCAUAAGAACAAGCAUUCAAGCAUAUAGAUACUUAUAAAAAUAGUUUUGUUUUUGUUCCUAAGAUUAGGUCUCCUAUUCCUAAAGUCACUUUAGGCACAAGAUUUCAAAGUGUGAAAUCCACAUUUGUCUUUAGAAAGACAAGGUAGGAAUAAUCAGAGUAAAGCGGAAAUAGAUGAGAAAGAUUAAGAGAAGUUUAGAAAACAAUCAAAGUAGCAAAGGUAAGUAGAUAAUGGUUGUCCAGUUCUAUCUAGGUUUCGUCCUACAGUCAACAUUCCUCUGAUACCACUUCUGUAACACCCGGAUUUUAGGGGUCCAAAACCCGGGCGCUAACAUAAUCACCAGGUGUGCUGGGACCAAGUCUCACACAUAUGAUGAAUCAUGGCACAGGAUCGAAUGUCACAUCUUUAUAUAUAACAGGAGUUCUAUACAAAAUAAAUAAUUACAUUAUAAGGAGACAACGGUCCAGCAACCCAAAGUUGACUGGGAGACGACGACCUAGACCUCUUACGAACACAUCGCAGCAUCCUCCAAGCGCCUCAUCCGAUGGUACCUGUUCUUGACCUGUGGGGUGUGUGAGACAGCAAGAGUGAGCUCACAUACGUUCAUCGCUCAACAAGUUGUGGGGAAUAAUGUGCAUGAACUCGCCAAAAGUGGGAGCUCACGUGAAGUGUAAGGCUUACCAAAGAGGAUGGCUGAAGCUGAGCAUUGCUUUUAAAGUUGGUCAAAAUUUUAUUAGCAAUUACUAAGUAUAAGUAAAUACCAAACCCAAUUAAGUAAUAGAACAAAAGUAACAACAUCACCUGCGAUGCAAUGCAUAUGACAAAUUGAAUUUAGUUCCAUAAUUUAAUCAUGUGAGUGUCCGAGCUGCUCAUGACCGUGAGCACGGCUAGUAUACCAGUUUUACACUCUGCAGAGGUUGCGCAUCUUUACCCACAAGUCAUGUUACCCAUCUGCCAAGGGAUCGCGACUUCCCAUACACCUCUACCGAGGAGGCGAGGCAGGGUAACACUACGAGGCCUUUACAAAGUUCCACUAGCUUCAGAAAACCCGCUACAGUUUAUAGGAAGUUCCAAUGCAGGAAUCCCUUGCAGGACCGCCAUCGCAGCAAAAUCCUCCCGAGGGCCUCCCUACACUGACCACUCCCCUACUGCCCUUGCCCCUUUCGGGUAAGGUAGUCUUCCACUAGCUUUCCUAAUUAAUCAGCCAAGGGGUCCCAUUCCUCCCUUGUGGUAGCACUGUUUUCCCGGGUGGUUCUCCAUGUUCCAAUUAACAUAAUGAUCUUAUCAUGAACAGUAAUAAUAAACAGAUAAUAAAAAUGUGAUCAUGAAUAAUGUAUCUUCAUACCCAAAACCACAUAAAGCACUAGCAAGUACUACCCAAAAAGGUUCAGUGGUAAACAAGGUAUAAAGAUAAUCAAACUAGGGUAACCUAUUGGGUCCCAUCAAAAUUAACCUAUGCAGAUCAUUAUGAUUAAUCAGAACAUGGCUGGGUAAAAAGAAGUGAUCAAGGGCACAACUUGCCUGGGACUUGAGAUUCCAGGUACCAACUUGCUGUUCAGGUGACACGUGUCCUCACUGUUAAACGUAGCAAUACAUACAAACAUGGUAUAUGCAAAAUUAACAUCACACCAAACAUAAUAAUACACUGCAUAAUAAUAAUCUACACGUCGCUACGAGAUCAUGGGUUCGAGAAUCACUAAAAUCGGAGUUACGGUUGUGAAGUUAUGGUUUUCCGAAGAUCCACGUGGUUAAAUAUCGAAUAGACUAAGUGCAACCUUUUAACCUAUAUUUCAUGACAAAACAAAGUUACCAGAUGUUAAUAAAUAUUAUUGUGAGACUAAUGAAACUAGAAUGGAUCAAAACAGAGUUACGGUUAUUGACUUAUGAAUUUCUGGAGUUAUUGAGUACAUGGUAUAGAUUAAUUCAGAUGAAUAAUGUUAAUUCAUAUUCCAUUGCUAAAUGGAGUUACUAAGUGGUAGUCAAUAUUAAAACAAAAUUAAUGUCUCCGGAAUAAAUUAAUUUGGAGCUAAAAUGAAUUUAAUAUGAAUUAAGCAAAUUCCUAGAUUUAUUUUUGCACUAAAAAUCUUUUUUUUUUCUAAAUAAAUUCUGAAUUUCCCAAGGAUUCUGGACUGUGGACACUAUUUUAACUAAGCCUAGGGUGCUCUGUGCAAAAUUCCGGGCCUGUUUUAUAAUUCCUUUACACGCAUCAGGACGGCGGGUUGAUUUUAGAAAAGGACAGGGCUCUUUAAGAAUUUGUCACGGCCGAAGGGGUAUCAACCACCGUGAGCCAUCCGAUCGCCCAUCAACCGACGGGAUUAGAUCCCCCCCUAAAGUGAACAGGAAUCACCCACAACCCUUGGAUGCGGCAUCCACGGUUCCAGACGAUUUCAAACCCCAUCCACUCGAUCAGGCGCCAAAGGCUUGGAUUCAGUACGCGAAGGGGUAAAUGCUACUUUUAAUCCCAGCCGUCCAUCUCAAUCCUACGGCCAGGGACCCGUCUUCCUCCCCUGGUUCCGUCGCUAUUUUCUCCCCAGCCAACCCUCUGCGACCGAGCGCCAUAGCCGCGGCAGCAUGCUGGUCAGUGCUCGCCAUCCGAGCCCAAAAUACAGCCUGGACGCCACUACUCAAAUCCUACACGGCCACAAUCAAUAGGUAGGAACACUCACCCUUGGUAAAGUUGUACACCAAGCAGACCUUGACUUCUGCUUGCCGAGGAAGCCCACGUCGAGAUCCCGAUCUGGCCUGGCGCACCGCUUCUCCUCCCACCGAUGACACCGCAAGCUUCAAGGCCCGCCGCCGAUCCCGCAAUGCCACUGCCGAGCCCCCAGCGCAGUCGUUUUACGAACGGUCGAUGGCGCGGACCGGAAUUCACGCGCCACCGGGCGACUCUCUCUCUCUCUCCCGAUUCCCCGAGUGCUCAGAGGUUUCAC
rnacentral:lncRNA from 1 species